CCUUCAGGUGGUCUCAGUUUCCUUCUAUUGAAAUGUGCUCUCAGGAAAUGAUUAAGCUCAUUCUUAAAGGACUGAUAGAGAUUAAUUUAAGUGCCACGAGAGCAGAAAACUUGUCUGUUAUUUUCCCCAUUUAUCUAAUGCCAGUAAAGGGCAUGGCAACAAAGAAGGUAUUCAGUAGAUAUUUGCUGAAUAAAUUAAUGUUUAUGGUAGCUUAAUGUUGGGUUAAACCAAAGGAAUACAUUUCAGAUUGUGGAAUUUCUGGCGUCAGAAGAGCCAAGUUGGGAAUAUUUUUGGAAAUGGAAUGUCUUCAUUUGUGCUUCUGAAAUGUAACUAAUUCAGACUUCCUCUUCCCCUUAACUAUAACUAAGAGGUUAGUCCAUGGGGACAGUUUUGGCAUCUUGGGUGUCAGUGUAGGUGAUAGGAAAUGUUGGUAUACCAUGAAUUAGCAGAGGUAUGAAAAGCCAAGGCUUCCCUGGUAGCUCAGAUGGUAAAGACUUACAUACUUAAGAAAAGCCAGGGGAGGUGGGUUAUUUUGCGAGUCUGCUAUCUUUGUAGCUCCCAUAUCGCAAAGUUCUUUAACCCCUUAAUCACAGGAAUUGUUGUUUUUUUUUUACCCCAGGGUUUGAGUGGCCUUGACAGCCAAGCUUCUGAACUCCUGUUCUAGCUCUGCUCUUCCUGCCAGCAGUGGUUAUGAAGCUGCUCUCAGUUCCAGGUGCUGGAAGAAGCUUCCCUCUCCAGGCCAGUGCCCUGUAUCCUGUCAGCUCUCACUUUCUUUCACCAGUGCCUCUCGAGACUCUCUGUGCCAGGGAUUUGGGCUGCUUCUGGCCACGGAUGCUCCUGGGAGUGGCUGUGGCUGGUACAGGAAGGCUCUGAGAAUCCGUGUGGGGUUGCGGUGGCCCAGCCCAUCUGAGCUGAGGGACAGAGCCAGAGGAGUCUGUCAACUUGGGAAGGACAGAAGUACAAGUGCGUUUUAACAUCCUCAGUGGGGGUAAG